UACGGAGGGGGCUAGCGUUGUUCAGAAUCAUUGGGCGUAAAGGGCGCGUAGGCGGCCGGCCAAGUCGGAUGUGAAAUCCCUCGGCUCAACCGAGGAACUGCACUCGAUACUGGUUGGCUAGAGUCCGGGAGGGGAUGGUGGAAUUCCCAGUGUAGCGGUGAAAUGCGUAGAUAUUCGCAGGAACACCAGUGGCGAAGGCGGCUUACUGGUCCAUUACUGACGCUGAGGUGCGAAAGCGUGGGGAGCAAACAGG
rnacentral:rRNA from 1 species